CCAUUGGAGGAGCUGUGAGACUUCCAAGCAAGAAUCUCUGCCUGGACCUCAGGGGGUCCGGGAGACCACCCCUGGGUGAACGGCAGGCCUGCUGGUUAACGCAGAGGAACUCUUCCAGCAGGCCGAAGGGGACGGUUCAGCUACCAGACUGUGGCUUCUCUCUCCGGACAGUGACGCUGAGGUCUGACGCCCCCAGACCUUAUUGCGUGGCCUCCUGGGGGUGGCUCUUGUACCUUUGGGGCAGCAGAUCCUGGCCUGGGGCCUCGGAGGGCUUUCCUCCAGGGCUCGAAACCUUUAUGGAGCCAGGCUUGGGGACACAGUGCCAGGAGCAGAGGAAGAGCUGGGGCCCAUGGCGUCAGCCCAUUCUACGGAGGUGAACAGAAGAGUGACAGACCUCAAAGAGACAGGACUCAGGAGCAUUGGGGAGCUGUUAAAAUGUUAAGCAAGUGGAUAACAUGAUCAUAUUUCAUGUUGAAAAAUUUCCUCUGGCUGCAUGUGGAAAAUUGAGUGUGAUCA
rnacentral:lncRNA from 1 species